AUUUUCAAGCGGUGCAUUUUGUUUGUCUCCCUUGUGGGGCCCUGUGUAUUAUUUUUGGAUUUUUGAACCUCUGUUUUCUAUACUGUGGAUUUGCUGCUCCUAUAUUAAAAGGAUUUACAGUGUCAACUUUGCUCUACUAUCAGGACUCCUUUUCUUCAACAUGGCCUACACACAAUUACUGAGGCAAAAUAUUGAAAGACCUGUGCAAAACAAAGGUUUUCCGAGAGCUGCACCUUCUCCCAAAUGAUACGGUCGAUUUCCCAAGACGACAAAGAAAAUCUGAUGCACAGCAAAUAGAGGAAGAGAAUGCAAGACACAAUUUAAUCACCUGCCAGAAGAGUCUGACAACAUACACAUUUCUUGGAGAAGGCCUAUUGCAGCAACAACAAGAAUAAAUGAAGACAGAUAAUGGACAGUUGACAACCGGGCGGGAAAGUACAUCUGUCGGCAAUCUGUUCCUUUUUUUUCGAAGCACACAGGUUUGGUGAAGUGAUACCCACAGUGCCAAUGUGUCAGAAUGAUUCACCUCUGCCUCAAGAAAGAAAGAAAUCUUAGAAGCACAUGAAGCAUCUAAGAUUUCAUGUAUGAAUUCUUUUGCUACUGUUGAGCACGUGUUUAUUCAACAAAAAACUUAAAAAUUUAGAAGAAAUUCUCAGGCAAUUUAAAAAAACAUAUGAAAAAUUAGAACGAGUGGAAUUUUUUUUUAUUUUAUUUUCAGGAACACCAGCAAAAGACAUAUCAAAAGUUGGAUCAAAUCCAGGCUAGACUUACCUUGAAGAAAAAUAGAAGAAAUUGAAACAAUGGUUAUUUACCUAAAAGAGAUCAAUCUCAAUAUUUCAGAACUUCUAUUACAACUGGUUCAAUCAGUAGACACCUUUAUCUCUACCUAGAGACAGCGUAGAUGGCAAAUGUAAUUUUAGGGUUUGGAUAAAAACCUAAAUUUAUAUUAAAAAAAAUAACAAAAAUACAUUUUAAAAAAGUCUUCAGAACGACCAAAUAAAAUCAUACACAGUGAUGGGUCUGAUCAGCCUGCUAAUAAUCCUUCAGCGAGUGGUUGACUAAUGGUAGAUAUAUUGGCAUUAAUGCUUUUAGUCAAAAAGUAGCAGAACUGAUGGCUAGAUUAGAUGACCACCGCAGAUGGUUAGCAUGUAUAUAUUUUGGGAUGCUUUACCCUGCAGACCAAUGCAACUCUGUUUCUGUUGCUGUUAAUCGGAAUAGUCAAACAAAAACUGCUUCUGCUUCGGGUGUGCUUGUUAAUUCUAGUGCUGAAGCUGCUGAUGCUGUUGAUUGUAAUCUCAUGGCAUCCUCUGACUGGUUUGAUGCAAUUGGUGAUAUUGAUGUUCAAGGACCCUCUGUCGGGUCAUUUUGACAUUGAUGAGCUGCUAGCAUCUUCUAGUAAUCAUUUUGAAGCAGCUGACGAUGGGGAUGCAUGUAAAUUUAGAUGCAAUAUAUGCUUUACUAUUAAAACUACCCAUCACAGAUGGUGAAAU